AAGAACCUUACCAGGUCUUGACAUCCUCUGACAAUCCUAGAGAUAGGACGUCCCCUUCGGGGGCAGAGUGACAGGUGGUGCAUGGUUGUCGUCAGCUCGUGUCGUGAGAUGUUGGGUUAAGUCCCGCAACGAGCGCAACCCUUGAUCUUAGUUGCCAGCAUUCAGUUGGGCACUCUAAGGUGACUGCCGGUGACAAACCGGAGGAAGGUGGGGAUGACGUCAAAUCAUCAUGCCCCUUAUGACCUGGGCUACACACGUGCUACAAUGGACAGAACAAAGGGCAGCGAAACCGCGAGGUUAAGCCAAUCCCACAAAUCUGUUCUCAGUUCGGAUCGCAGUCUGCAACUCGACUGCGUGAAGCUGGAAUCGCUAGUAAUCGCGGAUCAGCAUGCCGCGGUGAAUACGUUCCCGGGCCUUGUACACACCGCCCGUCACACCACGAGAGUUUGUAACACCCGAAGUCGGUGAGGUAACCUUUAUGGAGCCAGCCGCCGAAGGUGGGACAGA
rnacentral:rRNA from 1 species